rnacentral:rRNA from 1 species
GCAGAGAGGUCACACCCGUUCCCAUACCGAACACGGAAGUUAAGCUCUCUAGCGCCGAUGGUAGUUGGGACCUUGUCCCUGUGAGAGUAGGA